rnacentral:rRNA from 1 species
UACAGAGGUGGCAAGCGUUGUUCGGAAUUACUGGGCGUAAAGGGCGCGUAGGCGGUCUUGUAAGUCUCGUGUGAAAUCCCUCGGCUUAACUGUGGAACUGCACGGGAUACUGCAUGACUUGAGAUCGGGAGAGGGAAGCGGAAUUCCGGGUGUAGCGGUGAAAUGCGUAGAUAUCCGGAGGAACACCGGUGGCGAAGGCGGCUUCCUGGACCGACACUGACGCUGAGGCGCGAAAGCUAGGGGAGCAAACAGG